rnacentral:rRNA from 1 species
AUUGGAAUACGAUUAAGACAUGCGAGUCGAGAGACAUCUGGUCUCGGCGAACCGCUCAGUAACACGUGGACAACAUGCCCUAAGGUGGGGGAUAAUCUCGGGAAACUGAGGAUAAUACCCCAUAGGUCUUCUAUGCUGGAAUGCUCGAAGGCCGAAAACUCCGGUGCCUUAGGAUUGGUCUGCGGCCUAUCAGGCAGUAGUGGGUGUAAUGGACCCACUAGCCCGUGACGGGUAUGGGCCUUGAGAGAGGGAGCCCAGAGAUGGACUCUGAGACAUGAGUCCAGGCCCUACGGGGCGCAGCAGUCGCGAAAACUUCGCAAUGGGGGCAACCCCGACGAGGGAAUUCCAAGUGCCAGCACUUUGUGUUGGCUGUUCUCUUGUCUAAAAAACAAGAGGAGUAAGGGGCGGGUAAGACGGGUGCCAGCCGCCGCGGUAAUACCCGCGCCCCAAGUGGUGGUCGAUAUUAUUGAGCCUAAAACGUCCGCAGCCGGUCUUUUAAAUCCUUGGGUAAAUCGGGCAGCUUAACUGUCCGACUUCCGAGGAGACUGGAAGACUUGGGACCGGGAGAGGUCAGAGGUACUUCUGGGGUAGGGGUAAAAUCCUGUAAUCCUGGAAGGACCACCGGUGGCGAAGGCGUCUGACUAGAACGGAUCCGACGGUGAGGGACGAAGCCCUGGGGCGCAAACGGGAUUAGAUACCCCGGUAGUCCAGGGUGUAAACGCUGCGGGCUUGGUGUUGGGGGUCCUUUGUGGGCGCCCAGUGCCGGAGAGAAGUUGUUAAGCCUGCUGCUUGGGGAGUAUGUCCGCAAGGAUGAAACUUAA